GUGACGUCGGUGUGUUCCCGCCUGAAACGGAGGCAAAAGAGCUAUCGAAUAGAUAGCAACAUACAUUGGACAAUGGAUGACCUUUCUUUGGAUAAUAUUGAUGAAUUUGUCAACGACCAGAAUAAAAUCAAUGCUAUAUCAUUACAUGGACCGCAAGAGGAACGAAAGCUCAGCUCUGCUCCAUGCUACCUACCUUGCCUCUGGCAAGUUAGUCAAGAAUGAUACAACGGUUGUCAAGAAUGGUACCACGAUGUGAAGUUGAAGCAGAGCCUGACCAUCAGUGUACAGUGCUGAAAGACAGUGGUCCCCUGUACAGUGCGGAUUAUGAUGCUGUGAAAGAGAACCUAAGGAACUGCAGCAGGUACAGUGCAAUUCGCUGUGCUGAUGCAGUACCCAUGUCCUCGACAGAGGUGCAGCAGGCUCAUGAGAUGACACAGGCCCCACCGCUAGAGACGUCGCACACCAAAUCUGGCAUCAAUCGUCAUUCUAGUCUGGCAAAGAGUGAACAUUGGAGCAGAGAGAGGAUGCACCUGUGGUUGAGCCCUCCAAAACUAAACCAGCUCCAAAGACACAUCCUAUGAGUAACUUCUGUGGGAAUCAAGCAACUGAUAAAUCCUGUAUGUCCCCCACAUCUGGCUUACAUCUGACAAAUCCAUCAAGGAAGAGGUAGAAGCAGCCCAUAUGUCCUCUUCAGUGGAUGAGAAGCCCUCAAGCCCAGUCCCUAAUGCAGAGACUCCUGUCAAGGAGGAACUACCAAAAGGUGCUGUGGUUGAGAAAGAUAUUAGUAGUAAGAGCAAGCGUCUUGACCAUUCCGAUAGUGAAGAGAAGAAGAACAAGCGUCAGAGGAUAAAGAAGCCCCAGUCAGACAGUACUGAUGAUGAGGUUAUUCCAGAUUCUCCUCCAAGGUUGCAAGAACAGAGGGGCCCAUCACCAAGCCUUCUGAUUCAAAAAAGAAAGAACCUUUUGCUAUUUUUCAUUCAGAUUCCAUGCAGGAGCUUUUGGAUUGUAAGAGGAGGAAGAGGAGACCUGUCUUGAAACCGUGCACCUUUUUGGAUGACGAGGGGUGCAUUGUGACUGAGAAAGGCUAUGAGAGUGAAUCCUACUCUGAGACGGAAGAUGACUUUAAGGCAAGUAAACCAUCCCAGAUGAAUCCAGACCUACCAAAACCAUCAACUGGCAAGAAAGGGGAGGAGAAGAGAAGGAAAAAUGUUGCAGCCUCUAAUAAAUCAACUAAGCAGGCUUCUAUUAUGGGAUUCUUUCAAAAGAAAUGACCGACAUACUCGCAAUGUACUGAACACUGAGAAGAUUAACAUCCAUUUUGAGGGACUUGAGGCCCAGGUGGAGAGAAACUAGACUGACGCACAUUAUCAAAUGUCCCGGCAACAUUUGGAAGAACGCUGUAAUUUUUUUCCUAUUUAAAAAAACAAAAACAAUUUGUUAAUAUAUUUUCACAUUACUGUAUAUGAUAAAGUGGCAUAAAUAUAUCCACAACACAUUGUAAAGUACCGUCAGAGCUAGUUGACCAUUGCCAUGCUAUUGUACGGGGGGGUGUACGUCAAAUAAAAAUGUGAAUCAAUAACUUGUUUUUUUUUUUCCCUCACAUUUUUAAACAGUCCAUUCAUAUUCUCCAGUGGUGCUAUACAUUUGGGUGAGGUUUUUUUUCUCACCUGAGGAGCCUCGUUUCACUGCCAAAAAUCAAAUUAAACCUUCUAGUAUUCAGUGAAAUAACACCAUGUCAAAUAUAGGUAGCCAUAUCAAAUAAUUAACAUACAAUCACAUUAACCCUUAAUCUCUCCUGGGAAUUCCACUAAUGGUCCAUAUGUAGCUGCUGCUCAUGUUGGUAUCUGUACUGAUGGUGCAAAAUACAUGACAGGGAGACAUAGUGGAGUAGUAACGAGUAUGCAAGCAGUUGCUCCCGACGUCACUUGGGUACACUGCAGCAUCCACCGAGAGGCUCUUGCCGCCGAGGGAAUGCCUGACAGAUUGAAAGACGUUUUGGACACUACAGUGAAAAUGGUUAACUUUUUUAAAGCAAGGCCGCUGAACUCUCGUAUUUUCUGCAUUAUGCAAUGAAGGGGCAGCGACCAUGUAACACUUUUACAACUUACAGAAGUGGGCUGGUUAUUAAGGGGCAAAGUAGUGACACGUUUUUUUUAAAUUGAGAGACAAGCUCAAAGUUUUCUUUACUGACCAUAAUUUUCACUUGUCUGACCUCUUGCAUGAUGAGUUUCUUACACAACUGGCCUAUUUGGGUGAUGUUUUUUCUUGCCUGAAUGAUCUGAAUCUAGGAUUACAGGGACUCUCCACAACUAUAUUCAAUGUGAAGGACAAAAUUGAGGCUAUGAUUAAGAAGUUGGAGCUCUUCUCUGUCUGCAUUAACAAGGACAACACCCAGGUCUUUACAUCAAUGUAUGAUAUUUUGUGUGCAAAUGAACUCAAGUUUACGGACAAUGUCAAAUGUGAUAUAGCGAAGCACCUGAGUAAGUUGGGUGUGCAAUUACGGAGGUACUUUUCUGAAGUGGAUGACACAAACAACUGGAUUCGUUAUCCCUUUCAUACCCUGCCUCCAGUCCACUUACCGACAUCUGAACAAGAGAGCCUCAUCGAAAUUGCAACAAGCGGUUCUGUGAAAAUAGAUUUUUAUCAGAAGCCAAUGGCAGAUUUCUGGAUUGGGCUGCGCUCAGAGUAUCCUGCCUUGGCAAAUCGCGCUGUUAAGACACUGAUGUCCUUUGCAACCACGUACCUAUGUGAGAGUGGAUUCUCGGCCCUCACUAGCAUGAAAACCAAGUACAGGCACAGACUGUGUGGAAAAUGAUUUAAGACUGAGACUCUCUCCAAUACAACCCAACAUUGCAGAGUUAUGUGCAUCCUUUCAAGCACACCCUUCUCAUUAACCUGUGGUGAGUUAGUCACAAUUUUCGAUUAAAAAAUAAGGUUUUAUAUGUAAGAUGGUUAAAUAAAGAGCAAAAUUAUUGA